UACGUAGGGACCAAGCGUUGUUCGGAUUUACUGGGCGUAAAGGGCGCGUAGGCGGCGCGGUAAGUCACUUGUGAAAUCUCUGAGCUUAACUCAGAACGGCCAAGUGAUACUGCAGUGCUAGAGUGCGGAAGGGGCAAUCGGAAUUCUUGGUGUAGCGGUGAAAUGCGUAGAUAUCAAGAGGAACACCUGAGGUGAAGACGGGUUGCUGGGCCGACACGUGACGCUGGAGGCGCGAAAGCCAGGGGAGCAAACGGGG
rnacentral:rRNA from 1 species